rnacentral:rRNA from 1 species
UUAAAGCGAAAUAAGGGCGCAUGGUGGAUGCCUAGGGUCUGAGAGGCGAUGAAGGACGUGGUAAGCUGCGAUAAGGCAGGGGGAGCUGCACACGAGCGUAAUAUCCCUGCAUUUCCGAAUGGGACAACCUAAUAUACUGAAGGUAUAUUACUCGAAAGAGAGCCAACCCGGAGAACUGAAACAUCUAAGUACCCGGAGGAAAAGAAAAUAACAAUGAUUCCCAGAGUAGUGGCGAGCGAAAAGGGAAGAGCCCAAACCGAAAUAGCGUGCUGUUUCGGGGUUGUAGGACUACGUUUAGAAAGUGUUAUCAAAUCGAACUAUCUGGAAAGUUAGGCCAUAGCAGGUGAUAGCCCUGUAGAUAGAAAUUAACAUGGACGAGUAGUAUCCUGAGUAGCGCGGGACCGGAGGAAUCCUGCGUGAAUCUGCCAGCACCAUCUGGUAAGGCUAAAUACUCCUCAGACACCGAUAGUGAACCAGUACCGUAAGGGAAAGGUGAAAAGCACCCUGAACAAGGGAGUGAAAUAGUACCUGAAACCGUGCGCCUACAAGCGGUCGGAGCUCAGUAAUGAGUGACGGCGUGCCUUUUGCAUAAUGAGCCUACGAGUUGCUCCUCACUGGCGAGGUUAAAUUCGUGAACGAAUGGAGCCGUAGCGAAAGCGAGUCCGAAUAGGGCGACUAGUCAGUGGGGGCAGACGCGAAACUUUGUGAUCUAUCCAUGGGCAGGUUGAAGUUCUGGUAACACAGAAUGGAGGACCGAACCCGUUGACGUUGAAAAGUCUUGGGAUGACCUGUGGAUAGGGGUGAAAGGCCAAUCAAACUGAGAGAUAGCUCGUUCUCCCCGAAAUGUUUUUAGGAACAGCCUUGUAUAUAGAAGUUUAACAGAGGUAGAGCUACUGAUUGGGCUAGGGGGCUUCACCGCCUACCAAACCCUGACAAACUCCGAAUGCUGUUAAAUAUCUACAGGAGUGAGGCUGCGGGCGCUAAGGUCCGUGGCCGAGAGGGAAAUAACCCAGACUAGCAACUAAGGUCCCUAAUACGUAGUUAAGUUGAUCAAACGAGGUGGGAUUUCAAUAACAGCCAGGAUGUUGGCUUGGAAGCAGCCAUUCAUUUAAAGAGUGCGUAACAGCUCACUGGUCGAGAGAUCCUGCACGGAAAAUAAUCGGGCAUCAAACUACGAACCGAAGUUCUAGAUUCAGAUAAUAUCUGAGUGGUAGGGGAGCAUUGAAAUUGCAUCGAAGCUGUUAGGCGACUAAUGGUGGAGCGAUUUCAAAAGAAAAUGUAGGCAUAAGUAACGAUAAAAGAAGUGAAAAACUUCUUCGCCGAAAGUCUAAGGGUUCCUGAUCAACGUUAAUCGGAUCAGGGUUAGUCUGGUCCUUAGGAAAACCCGAAAGGGGCAUCUGAUGGAAAGAAGGUUAAUAUUCCUUCACCUGCUAUACAUUAAAAGUGACGCAUCGACGUGGUGGUUACGUACUGACAGAAUAGUGCGUAGAGAUGAAUCUUCGGAGGAGUCGAAAUCAUAAAAUUGGUGCCGAGAAAAGCGAGUAUAGCAGCCAGUACCGCAAACCGACACAGGUAGACGGGAUGAGUAUUCUAAGGCGCUCGGGUGAGCCGUGGAGAAGGAACUAGGCAAAUUGACGCUGUAACUUCGGGACAAGGCGUACCGUAGCGAUACGGUCUCAGUAAAAUGAUUCAACCAACUGUUUAACAAAAACACAGGGCCCUGCAAAAUCGAAAGAUGACGUAUAGAGCCUGAAACCUGCCCGGUGCUGGAAGGUUAAGGAAGGAUGUUCGGCGCAAGCCAAAGCUUCUGACUGAAGCCCCAGUAAACGGCGGCCGUAACUAUAACGGUCCUAAGGUAGCGAAAUUCCUUGUCGGGUAAGUUCCGACCUGCACGAAUGGUCUAAUGAGUUGAAUACUGUCUCCUCCACGAGCCCGGUGAAAUUGUAGUAUCGGUGAAGAUGCCGGUUACCCGCCACGGGACGGAAAGACCCCGUGAACCUUCACUACAACUUUGCAUUGAUCUUGAGUAACAAAUGUGUAGGAUAGUUGGGAGACUAUGAAGUAGCUUCGCCAGGAGUUAUGGAGUCAACGUUGAAAUACCAACCUUUUGUUACUUAGGACCUAAUCCUGAGAAAGGAGACAUUGCAUGGUGGGUAGUUUGACUGGGGUGGUCGCCUCCUAAAAAGUAACGGAGGCUUGCAAAGGUACCCUCAGUACGGUUGGUAAUCGUACGUAGAGCGCAUUAGUAUAAGGGUGCUUGACUGUGAGACAAACAAGUCGAUCAGGAGCGAAAGCUGGCUAAAGUGAUCCGGCGGUUCUGUAUGGAAGGGCCGUCGCUCAAAGGAUAAAAGGUACUCCGGGGAUAACAGGCUGAUCUUACCCAAGAGCUCAUAUCGACGGUAAGGUUUGGCACCUCGAUGUCGGUUCGUCACAUCCUGGGGCUGGAGAAGGUCCCAAGGGUUCGGCUGUUCGCCGAUUAAAGUGGCACGUGAACUGGGUUCAGAACGUCGCAAGACAGUUCGGUCCCUAUCUGUGGUGGGCGUUAGGAAAUUGCGGGGACGUGACCUUAGUACGAGAGGACCGGGUCGCAUGUACCGCUGGUGAAUCUGUUAUGCCGCUCGGUGUAUUGCAGAGUAGCUAUGUACAGUCAGGAUAAACGCUGAAAGCAUCUAAGCGUGAAACCUACCUCAAGAUGAGUUUCCUUUUAAGGGUUGUCAAAGACUAUGACGUUGAUAGGCUAUAGAUGUAAAGUUGGUAACAACAAAGUCGAGUAGUACUAAUUACCCGUAAGCUUUAAUUUUU